rnacentral:piRNA from 1 species
UGAUUAGCACAGAGAGCAUACAUCCU